rnacentral:rRNA from 1 species
GAGGAAUAUUGGUCAAUGGGGGCAACCCUGAACCAGCCAAGUCGCGUGAAGGAUGAAGGUCUUAUGGAUUGUAAACUUCUUUUAUACAGGAAUAAAUUGGGGGACGUGUCCCCUUUUGCAUGUACUGUAUGAAUAAGGAUCGGCUAACUCCGUGCCAGCAGCCGCGGUAAUACGGAGGAUCCGAGCGUUAUCCGGAUUUAUUGGGUUUAAAGGGUGCGCAGGCGGGAUGUUAAGUCGGCGGUGAAAUUUUGCAGCUCAACUGUAAAAGUGCCUUCGAUACUGGCCUCCUUGAGUGUGGAUGAAGUAGGCGGAAUUUGUGGUGUAGCGGUGAAAUGCUUAGAUAUCACGAGGAACUCCGAUUGCGCAGGCAGCUUACUAAGCCGCAACUGACGCUCAUGCACGAAGGCGUGGGGAUCAAAC